rnacentral:tRNA from 1 species
GGCGGGUAUAACUUAGUCGGUUAAAGUGUCGGACUGUGACUCCGAAAACACGAGUUCAAAUCUCGUUGCUCGCC